GACGAACGCUGGCGGCGUGCCUAACACAUGCAAGUCGAACGGAGUUAAGACUUCGGUUUUAACUUAGUGGCGAACGGGUGAGUAACGCGUGAGGAACCUGCCUUUCAGUGGGGGACAACAGUUGGAAACGACUGCUAAUACCGCAUAUUGUAUUUGGAUCGCAUGGUCUGGAUACCAAAGAUUUAUUGCUGAAAGAUGGCCUCGCGUCUGAUUAGCUAGUUGGUGAGGUAACGGCCCACCAAGGCGACGAUCAGUAGCCGGUCUGAGAGGAUGAACGGCCACAUUGGGACUGAGAUACGGCCCAGACUCCUACGGGAGGCAGCAGUGGGGAAUAUUGGGCAAUGGGGGAAACCCUGACCCAGCAACGCCGCGUGAAGGAAGAAGGCCUUCGGGUUGUAAACUUCUUUUACCAGGGACGAAGAACGUGACGGUACCUGGAGAAAAAGCAACGGCUAACUACGUGCCAGCCGCCGCAGUAAGAC
rnacentral:rRNA from 1 species